GAUCUCAGUUGACGUCAGAGGUGGGUUGUUAGAGACACAAGUGCUCCUGGGCUGGAGAGCCAUUUUGUGUCUGGCAUACUACAAGCGGGAAGACUUACAUACUGGAGUCCAGAGCGAGCUACGGAUCCCGACCCCCUUACGAAAGCGGUAAAUGACGAUGAGGGAAAAAACACCACCCAUGCACCGUGACUCUUGUCCGCUAGACUGCAAAGUCUAUGUAGGAAAUCUUGGAAACAAUGGAAAUAAAACGGAACUUGAGCGGUCUUUUGGCUACUAUGGACCUCUUCGUAGCGUGUGGGUUGCCAGGAAUCCCCCUGGCUUUGCAUUCGUAGAAUUUGAAGAUCCUAGAGAUGCAGCUGAUGCGGUUAGAGAGCUUGAUGGACGGACAAUGUGUGGAUGUCGCGUUAGGGUUGAAUUAUCGAAUGGUGAAAAACGAAGCCGUAAUCGCGGUCCUCCGCCAUCUUGGAACAGGAGGCCUAGGGAUGAUUACCGUAGGAGGAGUCCUCCUCCAAGACGCAGAGUCACCAUCAUGUCUCUUCUCACCACCCUCUGGGUCUACAUUAGACAGUCAACUAGCCCUUUCAGCGUCAUGUGACCAGCGCGCCCCAUUCAGCUUGGCUGGUGUCGUAUCACAUGACCCAGGCAUGGCCAGUCAUCAGGUUGCACCGCACUUUGGUUACCGAGCAUGCUGUCCACUCAGCCUUCCUACUCUCCAACCUUAACCAAAACUCGGCAGCAGCCCACCUUCAGCGCCCACACAUUACCGGCCAAUCUGCACAGCUGUUAACUUUGACAAAAUGUCUUCACAACAACUGCAGCACCAGCCUACGGCUAACCAAAAAAGCAGGAAAAACCACAUCAUCCCCCUUCGCAAACCAUCUAAAUUCAACGCAACACCUGGCAAAACUUAUCUACAAAUUCUACUUGGCCACCUGUCCGGCAUCUUCGCCAUUUCUAGCUUGUUGAAACCCCAAAAACUAAUCUCCAAGGAGAAGGAGCUUUUCCCGUAGCCGUAGUAGGUCCCUUUCUAGAGAUCGUAGAAGAGAGAGAUCUUUGUCCAGAGAAAGGAACC